rnacentral:rRNA from 1 species
ACUCAAAUGAAUAGACGGGGGCCCGCACAAGCGGUGGAGCAUGUGGUUCAAUUCGACGCAACGCGAAGAACCUUACCAGCCCUUGACAUGUGACUCGCCGGCUCCAGAGAUGGAGCCUUCGGUUCGGCCGGAGUCAGCACAGGUGCUGCAUGGCUGUCGUCAGCUCGUGUCGUGAGAUGUUGGGUUAAGUCCCGCAACGAGCGCAACCCUCGUCUCCAGUUGCCAUCAGGUUAUGCUGGGCACUUUGGAGAAACUGCCGGUGACAAGCCGGAGGAAGGUGGGGAUGACGUCAAGUCCUCAUGGCCCUUACGGGCUGGGCUACACACGUGCUACAAUGGCGGUGACAAUGGGAUGCAAUGGCGCGAGCCGGAGCCGAUCCUAAAAAACCGUCUCAGUUCGGAUUGCACUCUGCAACUCGAGUGCAUGAAGUUGGAAUCGCUAGUAAUCGAGGAUCAGCAUGCCUCGGUGAAUACGUUCCCGGGCCUUGCACACACCGCCCGU